rnacentral:rRNA from 1 species
GAUGAACGCUGGCGGCGUGCCUAAUACAUGCAAGUCGAGCGAACAGACGAGGAGCUUGCUCCUCUGACGUUAGCGGCGGACGGGUGAGUAACACGUGGAUAACCUACCUAUAAGACUGGGAUAACUUCGGGAAACCGGAGCUAAUACCGGAUAAUAUAUUGAACCGCAUGGUUCAAUAGUGAAAGACGGUUUUGCUGUCACUUAUAGAUGGUUCCGCGCCGCAUUAGCUAGUUGGUAGGGUAACGGCUUACCAAGGCGAAGAUGCGUAGCCGACGUGAGAGGGUGGUCGGCCACACAGGAACUGAGACAGCGACCAGAAACCGACGGAGGGCAGCAGUAGGGAAUCGCACGCAACGGGCGACAGCCUGACGGAGCAGCUCGGCGCGAGUGAUGACGGUCUUCGGAUCGUACAGCGCUGUUAUUAGGGAAGAACAAAUGUGUAAGUAACUAGGCACGUCUUGACGGUACCUAAUAAGAAAGCCACGGCUAACUACGUG